rnacentral:rRNA from 1 species
CGAGGGGCAGCGGGGUUGUAGCAAUACAACUGCCGGCGACCGGCGCACGGGUGAGUAACACGUAUGUAACCUGCCCUCUGCAGGGGGAUAAGCGGAAGAAAUUCCGUCUAAUACCGCAUAAUACAAUUUGGAGACAUCUCCGGGUUGUCAAAGGAGUGAUCCGGCAGAGGAUGGACAUGCGGCGCAUUAGCUAGUCGGCGGGGUAACGGCCCACCGAGGCUACGAUGCGUAGGGGUUCUGAGAGGAAGGUCCCCCACACUGGUACUGAGACACGGACCAGACUCCUACGGGAGGCAGCAGUGAGGAAUAUUGGUCAAUGGGCGGAAGCCUGAACCAGCCAAGUCGCGUGAGGGAAGACGGUCCUAUGGAUUGUAAACCUCUUUUGCAGGGGAGCAAGGCGCGGUACGUGUACCGCGAAGGAGAGUACCCUGAGAAAAAGCAUCGGCUAACUCCGUGCCAGCAGCCGCGGUAAUACGGAGGAUGCGAGCGUUAUCCGGAUUUAUUGGGUUUAAAGGGUGCGCAGGCGGACUGUUAAGUCAGCAGUAAAAUGUCCGUGCUCAACACCGGCCGGCCGUUGAAACUGGCAGCCUUGAGUGAGCGAGAAGUCUGCCGCAUGCGUGGUGUAGCGGUGAAAUGCAUAG